UCUGUCAUCUUUCUAGGAAGUUAGCAACUGGUACCAUGUCAGCAGUCAAGAGGUGACUUAUUCAAGGACUUGAAUGGGGCAUGGAAUAGGGCUUAGAUAAUUAGCUGAAAGUUCCAUAACAGAUAAUAAAAGACAGUGAUUGGUCUUAGUAGUGAGGCCCAUCUUAGAAACCUUUCUUUUUUUCUUCUUUAGAAAUAUUCCAGUGAUAAGAUUGAAGAACGGGCCGAUAGAGGAUUGUCUAUGGAGAAUGCUUGCCGCCAUUUUAGGAAGACAAACUCCAAGAAAGUUCAGCACGCUGCACUUCAAAAAUACUUUCAGAAAGAAACCAAAUGGAUGCUCAAAUGAUGGGAAAGGUGGAAAGAAAGAGAAGAGGGGCACCAGCAGCAAGUCGGAUGGUCUCAGUGGUGAUGGACUAUCAUGGAGAAAAUCUUUCUAUGUGAUAACCAGCAGUUGAAAGUGAUUGAUGGCUUAAUGGAUAACCCAUCCAUCGAUUAUUUCUGUAAAUGAACUAAUAAUUAUGUCACUAAUAAGCACUAAUAAUGUUCUCAUACAUAUGCUUUUUAUCAAGGCACUUGCAACACAUCGUCUUAGCCCAUUUUCAGGUUGGGCAGAAUAUGUGUUUAUUCUGCUGUAAAAGUAUAAAUAAAAAUGUAACUUCUCAAUGGCUGUAUCAAGAUGCAAUACGCAUAUAUAUGUAAACACACACACACACAUUUUAUUCUGCCUUUUUUACAAAUAACUCAAGGUGGCAAACACAUCUAACAUACUUUAAUAUUUCCACUCACAACAACUGUGUGCGGUGAGUUGGCCUGAAAGAGAGAUUUCUGUGCUUCUGUAUAUGAAUGUUUAUGUAAAAAUAAAAAUUUGGUCUCACUGAAGCAACAAGGAAGAAUAUUUGAUGUUUGUUUGGUUUUUAUUGCCACCCAUCUAAACUAAGGACUAUGGGUGGGAUAUAUCAUAAAAAAGAGUUAAAAACAAUUAAAACAACCUAGGCUAACUCAAAUUAAAUUACACUAGAUUCCCAAAGUUGCUAGACUAUUAUAUUACAUAUUAGAAUAGUAAUAUGUAUAUUACGAUUAUAUAUUGUAUAAGUGUGCUACACUAUUAUAUAGUGAUCUGUUCUGCACAAAAACCUAAGUCAUAAACCAUGGUUUACAAAUAACAACGGCUGUUUAUCAAGCCAAAACCAUAUAAUUCUUAUUAUGGUUUAUUAUGUAAAGCCAAUGUGAAUACGAACCCAAAUCAUGGCUUGCACUAAUAAAACCAUACAAACCAUUACUAAAAAUGAGAUAUUUUUCUUUUGGUGAAAAGACAUAUUCUUCCAAUGACAAUUUAAUGGUGAAGCCCACAGUAGGAAGAAGUCAUAUGGAGCCCCUUAAACAUAGUUACAUUAUGUUAAUUAAAAGAUUAAAAACAAAUUUCAGACUACCAGUGAAUGACAAUAUUGUAAAUAAUCUUUCUUGUACCAUUUUUUUUUAGCCAAUAUGCUUUUUACAAAGAACUACUGCUUUGCAACAAAAUAAAAUGUUCCAAGUGAGGAAAAAAACUGGACGUUUCCAGCAUAUAUUCUGUCAUAAGGUGCAACAGACUGUUUAAUAAUGAAGAUUUUAGUUGCUGUGUCCUGUUUUAAUUAUUGUAUUGCCACAAUAGAAUAGUUCUGUUUCAAUGAACUGAAUUCCUGGAUGAUUGGAGAAAAUUCUACUACAAAAGAUAUAUAAAUAUAUCACUACUACUUAUACUUUUAAUUGCUCAAUAUUACUAAAAGUAAUAUAAAAUUCUUAGGAAGAAACAAAAUGAACUAAUUUGCCUUUACUAUAACUACAUGUUGGAAUCUGGGGCAUCGUAUUGGUCUAGUGUCUGACUGGGUCUGGAACACAUUAGUAAGCCAAACUUCUAAAAUAUGCUUCAUUAAAACGUUAGACAUACUACUCUUUAUCUUAGGCUACUCCAGGCUACCAAGGCAUGACAAAUGUUAACAAGAGAUGCCCCCAAUCUAAGCUAUACCUUGAAAAAUAAAAUUACUGAUAGUUGAAAUUAGUGUCAGGUAAAACCUUUCAAAAUUUCAGUGUUCUGAUGUAUAAGAUUUCAGCAACUGCACAAACAUUUCAAAGAGCUCAUGGAAGAUUGCCAACAUUGUGUGACAUUUCUACAGGUUUGAUAGAGAAUGACAAUUUUAAAAUACCGCAGAAGGAUAGCUGCAAGAUAUUGAAGAAAGAGUAAGAAAAAUAUCAAUGGAGUCCCAAGGAAAAAUUAUAUGGCAAGUUACUGGAAGACAUAAAGACCUUAAUUAAGGAGGCACUGUUGAUGGAUAGUUUCCGUAUACAGGAGGUUAAAAAAAAAACUUGCUCUAAGAAGGAUUAAAAGGAGCAGAACACUUGAAUUCAUCUUUGUCAUUAAAAAAGACCUGCAGUUGUAAAUCAUGCCUGUUUUCAGUUCUGAGUGGUUUCUCAACUAGAGCACUUUAGCUAGCCCUUGAUUUACAAUAGUUCAUUUAGUGACCGUUCGAAGUUACAACAGCACUGAAAAAAGUGACAUGACCAUUUUUCACACUUAUGACCGUUGCAGCAUUCCCAUGGUCACACGAUCAAAAUUCGGAUGCUUGGCAACUGACUCACAUUUGUGAUGGUUGCAAUGUCCCAGGGUCAUGUAAUCACCUUUUGCAAUCUUCUGACAAAGUCAAUGGAGAAACCAGAUUCAUUUAACAACUGUGUUAUUAAUUUACCAACUACAGUGAUUCACUUAACAAACAUGGCAAAAAAGUCAUAAAAUAGAGUAAAAUUCACUUAACAAAUUUCUCACUUAGCAACAUAAAUUUUGGGCUCAAUUGUGGUCGUAAAUCUACCUGUAGAUGAAGAUAAUCUGACCACACUGAUCCAUAGUUUGUUUGGAUUAUCACACUGAUUUCUAUAUCCUCUUGAAGAUAGUUUGAGGUCACCUACCUUGUUACAGAAUGCUAAUAUUUAUUUAGCUUUGUGCUCAGUAAACAAACUUUGCUAAGGCUUGUGCAAAUCAUCUGAGGAGCAAAAUGACCCAUUGGAUCUAUUCCUCAUGCUCCAACCAUUCAAAGUGCCAGAAUGGCUGUUAUGAAAUCUUUCAAGGUCCUCCGGGCAUGCUUGUAUAAAGCUUUGCCACCAAUCCUGGCAGAAGUACACUCUGGGCAUUCACACUCGACCCAAAGGCUGCAGGAAAGCUUCAAAAGAGCCACUUUGAUUCUUUAAAAAGUUGGAUUCUUUGCAGUUUUCAGGAACAGAUCAAAAGAGGAGCAUCAGCUGCAGAAGUUAAAUGAACUUGCAGAGGCCUAUAAUACAGCACAAUUUUAAAUUUUCUGCCUUAUUUUUGUUUUAUUAUUCAGUGACUGCAUAGACAGCAAUAUGUACCUCCAGUAAAAAGAAUGCCCUUUUUGUUCAAAGUGAAUGCACAAAUAUUCCUAUCUAAACUGACAUCGGCUGCAAUGCACUGCAAGAGUACAACAUAAUAGCUAGAGAUGAUGGGUCUUGUGGUCUACCAUGUUUGAUGAAAGCUAAGUUUAAAAGGUUAGCUCAGAAUAUGCCCAUAGUUUUCUAACUGGCAUUUGAAUAGAGACUGUAUUCAAUAUGAUUUCCCAAGGGAGCCCUUGAGAUUUCAGGAAAUGUUGGCUUCCUGGGAUUUAGCAAAACUGCAGCAUUUGCUAUUUUCAGACUGUCCCCCAAUUUCCUUACAGUUUAAAUAAAUGUUUCCUCACAAUCGUUCGUGUCUAAAAAGGCAAUUUGAAAAACAAGGUUAGAGUACUGCAAUCAAGUGAGAUUUAUUGUUAGAUUGCUCUAACUAAAUCUCUACUUGUUCACCAAACACUGCAUUUUGAGGUAGGCUUUCUUAUAGUGGUAUAAGCCCAUUAAAAUAUAAAAGCAAGAAUCUGAUGCUGUCAGAAAACAAAUUUAUCCUUUUUAUAUAUGGCUAAUUAGAGGGGGAGGGAGAACAAAUUUACUAUAAUCUUUUAAUAUCUUUAUAGGGACCCGGUGGCUCAAUGGCUAAGACACUGAGCUUGUCGAUUGAAAGGUUGGCAGUUUAGCGGUUCGAAUCCCUAGUGCCGCAUAAUGGGGUGAGCUCCCAUUAUUUGUCCCAACUUCUGCCAACCUAGCAGUUCGAAAGCACGUAAAAAAUGCAAGUAGAAAAAUAGGGACCACCUUUGGUGGGAAGGUAACAGUGCUCUGUGCGCCUUUGGUGUUUAGUCAUGUGGGCCAAAUGACCACGGAGACGACUUUGGACAACGCUGGCUCUUUGGCUUUGAAAUGGAGAUGAGCACCGCCCCCUAGAGUUGGGAAUGACUAGCACGUAUGUGCGAGGGGAACCUUUACCUUUAGUUUAAUAUCUUUGCUAUAAACAACAUUCUAACUGAUUAUGCUAAUCUUCUGAGCUAUUUAGUCAGUAGAGUAUUCCAAUACUUAUUUAAAUAUUUAUGAAUGUGUUUUCCACUUCACAGUUAAUCUCAAAAAGAGCUGCCAAUUGGCAGGAGGAAAAAGAGAGAAAGCACCCAAUACAAAAGAAAACAAAUAGGUGGACUAUCUCAAGUGCCAAGAGAAUAUAAUUUAUUAUAAACACACAAAGUUUUUUAUGUUUAAUUCCUUUGAGGCAUGCUCUUAUUACAUGGAAAAUAGCUUAUUGUUGAACUUAAUCCAAAGUAUCUGAAACUUUUAAAGUCCCUACUUAUCUUUUUGGACUUUAUUUCUAACCCUACACCCAUGAUGUGCAAGUGUACACAAAUCCUCUCACAAUGCCAUGCAACCUACAGUUGCAUCAAAAACAUGCUUCAAGCAAAAUGAUACUGAAAAUUAUAUACAUAUUCAUCCUUCCCUUAUUCCCAGUAAAAUCUGAGGAGACUGGAAACAAUCAGUUCCUUCACCUUCAGCCAGUCAUUGCUUGCAGCAUUUUUGACAAUGCUACUCUUUUAGAUUACAGGAUACAAGAGGAUUCCCUAGCCACCAUUCACUGAGAAAUAUUUCUUAGCCAAUUUUACUGCCCAACUCAAACAUAAUAGGAUAAUAUAGAUAGUCCUUGACUUAUAAGCACAAUUGAACCCCAAAUAUCUGUUGUUAAGUGAGACAGUUGUUAAGUGAGUUUUGCCCCAUUUUACAA